AGUGAACGCUGGCGGUAGGCCUAACACAUGCAAGUCGAACGGCAGCACAGUAAGAGCUUGCUCUUACGGGUGGCGAGUGGCGGACGGGUGAGGAAUACAUCGGAAUCUACUUUUUCGUGGGGGAUCACGUAGGGAAACUUACGCUAAUACCGCAUACGACCUACGGGUGAAAGCAGGGGAACUUCGGACCUUGCGCGAUUGAAUGAGCCGAUGACGGAUUAGCUAGUUGGCGGGGUAAAGGCCCACCAAGGCGACGAUCCGUAGCUGGUCUGAGUGGAUGAUCAGCCACACUGGAGCUGGACCACGGUCAAGGCUCCUGCGGGAGGCAGCAGUGGGGAAUAUUAGGCAGUGGUCGCAAGUCUGGUCCAACGGUCCCGCGUGGGUGGAGGAGGCGUUCGGGUUGUAAAGACGUUUUGUUGGGAGAGAAAAGCAGCCGGCUAAUACCACGCUGUUGUGACGGUAACCAGUGAAUGAGCACCGGCUAACUUCGUG
rnacentral:rRNA from 1 species